rnacentral:rRNA from 1 species
CGCGAACCUAUAUAAGUAGGUAAUUCAAAUAACAUCUUAGCAGGUACAGAAUUGUGAUCUCGAACAAUAUUAUUUUAUUGUUUUAUAUCGGGGGAUCGUGAAGAUUUUAUCGGAGAGUAUUUGCACUCGGAAGGGCAAAGAUGAAUUUUGAACAAUCGGACAUAGUACGAUAAGGUUGUAUGUCUAAAGGGAAACAGCCCUAAACAAGAAUUAAUAAGGUUCCAAAAUUAUUAUUGAGUGAAAAAAAGGAGGUUUUUAUUGAAUACAAACAGGAAAUAGGCUUAGAAGCGGCCAUUUUUUGAAGAUCUCGUAACAGAGCACUGGGUUAGUAAAUAUUUUUUAUUUAUAUAGGUAAAAACACUUAAAAUUUAACGGAUCUAAAUAAUAUACCGAAAUCUUGUCCAUACAUUCAUAAAUAUAUACUUAUUAAAUACAUAUUUUGUAUGGAGUAGCGGAACAUUGGGUAAAUCUUAGACUUUGUACUUUUCAACAAAUAAUAUGAUAUCCCAAGAGAUAAUGCUGACAUGAGUAACGAUAAAGGAAAUAUAUAUUUCCUCGCCUUAAGCUUAUGGAUUGCAAAUAAUAAAAACGGCCUCUAAAUUAUUUCUGAAAAGAAAAUAAUGAUGAGUAUUGAAUUUAAAGAAAAAACCUUUUUAAAGUAAUAAAGGUUCAGGAAAAUCAAAUUCCAUUUAUAUAUAUAUACCUAGAGACAUAUUUGAGAUUAUACGGGGGAGCAACUACCCUAGUCUGGUUUCGGGUAUGUUGAAAUUAACCGUACCUAAAAACUAGCACAAGUAAGCAAGUU